GCCGGAACAUCAAGAACUGAAUCAGAGUGUUGUGCGACAUCGACACCUUUGCCCGAUAAGAAGUUGUUAGCUGCUAUGUUUAUCAAGCUGCAAGAGAAGGAUGCUUACAGGCUUCCUGAUUAUUACGAUGUGGUAAAGCAGCCAAUAGACUUUGCAACUAUUCGGAAGAAGCUAAGGAAAACUGUUACAAGUGUUUGGAGGACUUGGAGGUUAUUAAUUGGUUCCGUAGAUUAAUUAAUAACUGUGGAGCUGCUAUUAUAACUAAUAAUGGGUGACAAUCAGUUGCUAUGUUGCAAUGCAAUAUUGUACAACAAAGCUUAUA